UACGAAGGGGGCUAGCGUUGCUCGGAAUCACUGGGCGUAAAGCGCACGUAGGCGGCUUUUUAAGUCAGGGGUGAAAUCCUGGAGCUCAACUCCAGAACUGCCCUUGAUACUGGCGGUCUCGAGUCCGGGGAGAGGUGAGUGGAACUGCGAGUGUAGAGGUGAAAUUCGUAGAUAUUCGCAAGAACACCAGUGGCGAAGGCGGCUCACUGGCCCGGUACUGACGCUGAGGUGCGAAAGCGUGGGGAGCAAACAGGG
rnacentral:rRNA from 1 species